rnacentral:rRNA from 1 species
UACAGAGGCCUCGAGCGUUAGGCGGAAUCACUGGGCUUAAAGCGUGUGUAGGCGGAUUUCUAAGUACCUUGUGAAAUCCCACUGCUCAACCGUGGAACUGCUUGGUAUACUGGUUAUCUUGAGCCACCUAGGGGCCUGCGGAACAGAUGGUGGAGCGGUGAAAUGCGUAGAUAUCAUCUGGAACGCCAACGGUGAAAACAGCAGGCUGGGGGUGUGCUGACGCUGAGACACGAAAGCCAGGGGAGCAAACGGG